GGGGCCGUAGCUCAGUUGGGAGAGCGCUACAAUGGCAUUGUAGAGGUC
rnacentral:tRNA from 1 species